UACUCCCUGGCCAUCUACUUUGUAAAUCUUCAGAAUUGUUUGUGAAGGAUAUCCUGACUAACAGUUUGUUUACCUUGUCUUAGGCACCCAAGUUUUGCUCCUCAUGGGAGACCUUUAAAGAAUACCUCAGACCACAGUUUGGACUCUGGAUCCUUCUUCGGCUGGCAGCCCACCCUGGAGAUCCCUCUGUCUGAUUAAGCGAACCUUGUCCACCCUCCAACGGUACCUCCCGGAUCACCUAAGAAGCCCCAACGGAAUCAGCACGACUUCAUUGUCCCCUGACUCGCAGCCUUCUCCCCCUGGUGGAUCGCCCCACCCGAAUAUCUGACGGCCUGCCUGGUCCCCUCGCUCCAUGUAUAUUUCCUUGAGUUGUUAAUAAAUUGUUGAAACGUU